ACGAACGCUGGCGGCGUGCCUAAUACAUGCAAGUCGAACGAAACUUUCUUACACCGAAUGCUUGCAUUCACCGUAAGAAGUUGAGUGGCGGACGGGUGAGUAACACGUGGGUAACCUGCCUAAAAGAAGGGGAUAACACUUGGAAACAGGUGCUAAUACCGUAUAUCUCUAAGGAUCGCAUGAUCCUUAGAUGAAAGAUGGUUCUGCUAUCGCUUUUAGAUGGACCCGCGGCGUAUUAACUAGUUGGUGGGGUAACGGCCUACCAAGGUGAUGAUACGUAGCCGAACUGAGAGGUUGAUCGGCCACAUUGGGACUGAGACACGGCCCAAACUCCUACGGGAGGCAGCAGUAGGGAAUCUUCCACAAUGGACGCAAGUCUGAUGGAGCAACGCCGCGUGAGUGAAGAAGGUCUUCGGAUCGUAAAACUCUGUUGUUAGAGAAGAACACGAGUGAGAGUAACUGUUCAUUCGAUGACGGUAUCUAACCAGCAAGUCACGGCUAACUACGUGCCAGCAGCCGCGGUAAUACGUAGGUGGCAAGCGUUGUCCGGAUUUAUUGGGCGUAAAGGGAACGCAGGCGGGCUUUUAAGUCUGAUGUGAAAGCCUUCGGCUUAACCGGAGUAGUGCAUUGGAAACUGGAAGACUUGAGUGCAGAAGAGGAGAGUGGAACUCCAUGUGUAGCGGUGAAAUGCGUAGAUAUAUGGAAGAACACCAGUGGCGAAAGCGGCUCUCUGGUCUGUAACUGACGCUGAGGUUCGAAAGCGUGGGUAGCAAACAGGAUUAGAUACCCUGGUAGUCCACACAGUAAACGAUGAAUACUCGCUGUUGGCGAUACACAGUCAGCGGCCAAGCGAAAGCAUUAAGUAUUCCACCUGGGGAGUACGCCGGCAACGGUGAAACUCAAAGGAAUUGACGGGGGCCCGCACAAGCAGUGGAGUAUGUGGUUUAAUUCGACGCAACGCGAAGAACCUUACCAAGUCUUGACAUCCCUUGACGAUGCUGGAAACAGCAUUUCUCUUCGGAGCAAGGAGACAGGUGGUGCAUGGUUGUCGUCAGCUCGUGUCGUGAGAUGUUGGGUUAAGUCCCGCAACGAGCGCAACCCUUGUUGUCAGUUGCCAGCAUUAAGUUGGGCACUCUGGCGAGACUGCCGGUGACAAACCGGAGGAAGGUGGGGACGACGUCAAGUCAUCAUGCCCCUUAUGACCUGGGCUACACACGUGCUACAAUGGACGGUACAACGAGUCGCGAGACCGCGAGGUUUAGCUAAUCUCUUAAAGCCGUUCUCAGUUCGGAUUGUAGGCUGCAACUCGCCUACAUGAAGUCGGAAUCGCUAGUAAUCGCGAAUCAGCAUGUCGCGGUGAAUACGUUCCCGGGCCUUGUACACACCGCCCGUCACACCAUGAGAGUUUGUAACACCCAAAGCCGGUGGGGUAACCGCAAGGAGCCAGCCGUCUAAGGUGGGACAGAUGAUUGGGGUG
rnacentral:rRNA from 1 species